rnacentral:rRNA from 1 species
UACGUAGGGUGCAAGCGUUGUCCGGAUUUAUUGGGCGUAAAGAGCGUGUAGGCGGCCUGACAGGUCUGCUGUGAAAACUCGAGGCUCAACCUCGAGAUGUCGGCGGAAACCGUCUGGCUAGAGUCCGGAAGAGGAGAGUGGAAUUCCUGGUGUAGCGGUGAAAUGCGCAGAUAUCAGGAAGAACACCUAUGGCGAAGGCAGCUCUCUGGGACGGUACUGACGCUGAGACGCGAAAGCGUGGGGAGCGAACAGG